GCGCUUGUGAGCUUCUCCAUUACUAUACAAACCCACUUGUGAACAGCUCAAUUCAAAGGCAAAUUAAAUGGGAGAAAGGAAUAGCAUAUGUGCAUUACGCACCAUGUUAUCUCCAACAUAAAAUAAGAGCUCAUGCAUUAUUAAUAUAGCACGUUGAGCAUAUCUUAUUCUCAUAGAUUGAAUUUCUGAAUCUUCCCAAUGAAUAACCCAAUUCAUAAUAA
rnacentral:misc_RNA from 1 species